rnacentral:rRNA from 1 species
UACGUAGGGCGCAAGCGUUGUCCGGAAUUAUUGGGCGUAAAGAGCUCGUAGGCGGCUUGUCACGUCGAUUGUGAAAGCCCGAGGCUUAACCUCGGGUCUGCAGUCGAUACGGGCUAGCUAGAGUGUGGUAGGGGGAGACUCGAAUUCCUGGUGUAGCGGUGAAAUGCGCAGAUAUCAGGAGGAACACCGGUGGCGAAGGCGGAUCUCUGGGCCAUUAUUGACGCUGAGGAGCGAAAGCGUGGGGAGCGAACAGG